GUAUAAGGUUUAUAGGCACUUAGGCCCAAUGAUACAUUCUGUUACAUACUAGGGGUAUAUGAAAAAAACGUAGGCUUGGAAUUGCAAAGAAAGCCGAGCGCAGCAUUCCUCCCGACCGAGUUACCUCGGAAAAUUCAUCCAGGUCUACAAGAGGUGCACAGGUGGAGAGAUGAGGAUGGCGGGUGUGCACAUGCCCCCACAAGAGAGCCAGCAACAACCACACCAAGUUCAUUCAAUAAUGAUCCUUCCGCAGGUUCACCUACGGAAA
rnacentral:misc_RNA from 1 species